GAUGAACGCUGGCGGCGUGCCUAAUACAUGCAAGUCGAGCGAACAGACGAGGAGCUUGCUCCCCUGACGUUAGCGGCGGACGGGUGAGUAACACGUGGAUAACCUACCUAUAAGACUGGGAUAACUUCGGGAAACCGGAGCUAAUACCGGAUAAUAUAUUGAACCGCAUGGUUCAAUAGUGAAAGACGGCUUUGCUGUCACUUAUAGAUGGAUCCGCGCCGCAUUAGCUAGUUGGUAAGGUAACGGCUUACCAAGGCAACGAUGCGUAGCCGACGUGAGAGGGUGAUCGGCCACACUGGAACUGAGACACGGUCCAGACUCCUACGGGAGGCAGCAGUAGGGAAUCUUCCGCAGUGGGCGAAAGCUUGACGGAGCAACGCCGCGUGAGUGAUGAAGGUCUUCGGAUCGUAAAACUCUGUUAUUAGGGAAGAACAAAUGUGUAAGUAACUAUGCACGUCUUGACGGUACCUAAUCAGAAAGCCACGGCUAACUACGUG
rnacentral:rRNA from 1 species